UACGGGGGGGGCAAGCGUUGUUCGGAAUUACUGGGCGUAAAGGGCUCGUAGGUGGCCAACUAAGUCAGACGUGAAAUCCCUCGGCUUAACCGGAGAACUGCAUCUGAUACUGGAUGGCUUGAGUUUGGGAGAGGGACGCGGAAUUCCAGGUGUAGCGGUGAAAUGCGUAGAUAUCUGGAGGAACACCGGUGGCGAAGGCGGCGUCCUGGACCAACACUGACACUGAGGAGCGAAAGCCAGGGGAGCAAACGGG
rnacentral:rRNA from 1 species